rnacentral:sRNA from 1 species
AUUUCCUCAUGGUUGUGAUUCCUCUUCACUCUUUUGAAUUUGGAAGGAUGGCAUACACAUCUGAAAAAUACCACUACUUCCUUCAUUGGACGGCAAGGUAUUUCUGUUUGGAAAAGUAAUGGAGUCCAGUCAACUUCAUUGAUCUCCAAGGACUGUCAAAAUUAUAAAACUUGCUGUGGAGCUCUGACAUGCCAGAAGCCGCUAGAAAAAGAAGUUUGACAUUCAGAAACUUAUCAAGAGGUUCUACUCUUUGGAUAGAGACCAAAAUCAUACUUUGAAAAAGCCUGACAGGUUUCUUCGGAAAAGUGGCCAUCCAUGGAAUGAAUGAAAUGUUCUCUUUCUAUUCCAGGGAUUGCAGUGGCAAAGCUAGGCUAGGUCUUGGAGGCUGGUGUAAGGCGAUGCGGGUGAAGGCAGGAGGCUGAUGGAGAGACUGGGGGGAAGAAAAGCCGAAAUGGAUUCACGGUGCCUUGGAUGAAGGACGAGAGGGGAACUGCAAGCUCCUUCAACUGGUUCUGUCCGGUGAGAAGUGAUCAAGCUUGGGCUGACAAGAGGCUCAGGGAGCCCUCACGUUCUUUCGCUUUUUUACCUGCCAAUCAAACUGCUACAAGACAACACCCUGAUCUGGCAUGGACAUAUCCAACUUAGAAAUAAUGUUUCAUUCAAGAUAAGGCUCGUGGUUUAGGAGAUUGUGACCUGGCUUGCAUCAUUCUAAGACUUCUAUCGUCUGUUUUCAAAACCCAAGGAGGACCUCAUUUUCUGUGUGAUAGUUCCUCAUGCUUUGCCAGCCACUGGGUCUUUAAGGAAGCUUGCCAAGAGUUCCCGGCUGGGAAGGACAGUUCGAGUUCAUCAUAGACAAUGAGCUGGCACCACAGUUUAAGUGACUCACCAACCUGGUUGCCCACUUCAAAAUGUCAAGAACCACACUAUCUAAUUGAAAGAACUGUGUUUUAGCAAAGUGUAAUUGGAUCGCCUGGCAAGAUCAUCUCAAACUAUGUCUCUGACCUUGCCUUUCAGUGGCUAUUUUGAGCACAAGAGGAGAAAGGAAAUGAUUCCUGAAUUAUAUCUUGUUUUUAAAAAUUAAGAUUAAUUAA